CCUUUCUCAGCAGCCUGUCAGGGGUCUGCUCAGGGUUAAAUUUCUUGGGUUUCAGACAAAUGCAGGGCCAGCCCUACUUCAGAAUUGGGACGUAGGGUUGGAAGAGAUUUUCCCUGGAUGCUCAGGGCACAGAGGUUGCUAGUGUGUCCCAGGGUAAGUUCUGCAGGUGGCCUCUUCAUAGGGAACCUUGCCUACCACUGACUGGAAGGUUUGACAGCAGGCUUCAGGGUAUAGCAGUGCACUCCCUGCAGGCAGAGACUUGCUGGCAGGGUCGUCUGUCCCUAUUACCAUAGCAGACAGAAGGUCCUUUUCCCAGUGGUGUCCUUCCUGCUACAUUUGGGUAAGUGAAGUCCUCAGAAUAGGGAGAGACAGGUUCAACUCUCACAGAGCCUAUCAGGCCUGCUGUAGGUGGGUGACUUGCACUGGGAGGAGGUCCUGAGUGACUAGGAAGUUCUUCUCACCCAUCUAUCUGGGGGUGGUCAUUCUAUGAAAUGUGUUCUCUGACCAUGUUAGUCAGGGCUGCUGAAGACUUUCUAGUCACACACCUAGGAAGGUGAAGCCUCUCUCUAAGCACUGCUUCCUGCUCUAUUGCCAAACUGCAGACAACCACCAGGUUAAAGAAAGUAGGUGUGUCUCUUGACCUGGGCUCACCCACGUGAAUGUAGACACACCACACACCUCUCAUUUCUGGAAAGGUCCAUCCUGCCAUGGGCACAAGCUAGACUGAAAUGGCUGAGAGUUUAGCCCCGCCUUCAUGCCCUGCAUAAAACUGGUAAGAACUGAGGGCUCCCCAGUCCACCUCAUAACUGUCAGGGUGGGGAUUCUGGGUGUGAUGUCACAGGGCCUGCUUUGAGCUAAACUCCUUACUAUGGUGUCAGUCCACUGAACUUUAGGGACCCCUUACUUAGUUCCCUUGCAGGGCACAUACAUACUAGCAGACUAGGACCUCCUCAGAUCAUAAGUGAGGGGAAAGAGUCUGAGGCAACAUACAGUUGUCCCUGGACCUUCCACUGCCUCUUUCUCUUCCUGGGAUGUUGUUUGUUUUCUUAGCCUGCUGUGUGUCUGGAUGAAGCCAUUAGCAGGUGACCUCUCUGUUCUAUGGACUAUUCCUACUAGGGCUAGCAAUGAUUACUUCAAAUAUUGGACAUUGCAGGGGAGACCUGGACAUUGCAGGUGUGAGUUCAGUGGACUAGGACUCUGCUGUGGGUGGGAGCACUGGACCUGCAGCAGUGGCUUCUGGGAACUGUAGGUACCUGUAAGUCCAAGAGUGCCCUCCCACCAAAGUUUGCUCAGAGAGCCUGUCCCUGCAGUGUGCGGGUCAUCUUAACAGGACUGAGGCAGCUCAUGAAGUUAAGGUCCUGAAGCCCAUCUGGGCUUUGCAGCUUUCGGGGGAACUCUAAAGAUUCAGCUUUAGUUAGUCAUGGAGAGGUGGGCCAGGGACAUGUUAAGGGUCUGCAGAACAUGCUAUGUCACCCAACGAUUUCCUGGUUGUAGGGUAAGCCAUUCCAGGUUCAGCCUGGAUAAGCAUUGAAGUUGCCCAGGGGCUCUUUGCAACUGGGGAGGGGGGCACAUUUCUAGCAUGUGAUACUUCAGGAUGGGGGAGGCAGGGGGUGUCCUACAGGAGCUCCUGAGUGCCAGUAAGGCAGUGAAGGAUUGGGAGGGAGCUGUGAAGUUCUGUGCCCAGCACUGGCCUGACCCUUAUUUUGGAGCCAUGUGGUUGGCAUGCCAGUCCCCUGAGGGCCAGCAGAUACCCAGGCACUGCUCUGAAGGGUCUCUAAGCCAGCACCCUGGACUGGGCUGGCCUUCUGGUCAGGACGGAUUCAGCCAGCAGGCAGCUGAAUCUGGGAAGCAGAGCACCAUGGGAGCAAAUGGAAACGACACAGGGAACGGUUGAGACCACACUGCAGAACUGACUGGAAAGCAAGGAGAGGCAGCAGCCUCCUCACGGGUGGAAACAUGCAACAGAAACCACCUGUCUUCAGCACAGACCUUGAAAGCAUCUUCCUCAUGUGACACGCAUCCCGGGAGUGUCAACAAACUGGAGUCCACUCCUGGGACGUGCUUCUCUUAAAUGACAAAUUCUGAGUGCCAUAUGGCGCCUGGUGUCCUGGGCCAUCAACAAGCUGCCUGAGUGGAUGACAAUGACUACGUUUCCCAGCUGUGGAGGACUGUACUGCAGAAUCCUCUGUGGUGAUGUCCUCUUGUCUCUUCUUUCUUGGGCUUGGUACUGGGCUGUAGACAGUGGUAGCAGCUUAGUAAACUCCCUACCAUGGCUCGUCA